GCACUGCCUUUGAGCCGGCGGGGCGCCCUGCCCGCGGCGCCGCCGGCCAAGGGUGCCAGAGCGAGCCCCUUGUUGAUAACUGGUGCUGCUCGGCACGGCCCGGGCGGCGCUUUUAAAAGCAAGGUACAGGG
rnacentral:snoRNA from 1 species